CCUACGGGUGGCAGCAGUGGGGAAUAUUGCACAAUGGGGGAAACCCUGAUGCAGCGACGCCGCGUGAGUGAAGAAGUAAUUCGUUAUGUAAAGCUCUAUCAGCAGGGAAGAAAAUGACGGUACCUGAGUAAGAAGCCCCGGCUAACUACGUGCCAGCAGCCGCGGUCAUACGUAGGGGGCAAGCGUUAUCCGGAUUUACUGGGUGUAAAGGGAGCGUAGACGGCAGUGCAAGUCUGGAGUGAAAGGCGGGGGCUCAACCCCCGGACUGCUCUGGAAACUGUAAAGCUGGAGUGCGGGAGGGGCAGGCGGAAUUCCUGGUGUAGCGGUGAAAUGCGUAGAUAUCAGGAGGAACACCGGCGGCGAAGGCGGCCUGCUGGACCGUAACUGACGUUGAGGCUCGAAAGCGUGGGGAGCAAACAGGAUUAGAUACCCGAGUAGUC
rnacentral:rRNA from 1 species